AUUCAGCUGACGAGUCCCAAAUAGGAGGAAACGCGCUUCAAACUGGAU
rfam:Schistosoma mansoni strain Puerto Rico chromosome 5, complete genome